rnacentral:rRNA from 1 species
UGGGGAAUAUUGCACAAUGGGGGAAACCCUGAUGCAGCAACGCCGCGUGAAGGAAGACGGUCUUCGGAUUGUAAACUUUUGUUCUUGGUGAAGAAGAAUGACGGUAGCCAAGGAGGAAGCCACGGCUAACUACGUGCCAGCAGCCGCGGUAAUACGUAGGUGGCAAGCGUUGUCCGGAAUUACUGGGUGUAAAGGGAGCGCAGGCGGGAAAUCAAGUUGGAUGUGAAAUGUCGGGGCUUAACCCCGGACUGCAUCCAAAACUGAUAUUCUUGAGUGAAGUAGAGGUAGGCGGAAUUCCGAGUGUAGCGGUGAAAUGCGUAGAUAUUAGGAGGAACACCAGUGGCGAAGGCGGCUUGCUGGACGACAACUGACGCUGAGGCGCGAAAGCGU